UACGUAGGGGGCAAGCGUUGUCCGGAAUCAUUGGGCGUAAAGCGCGCGUAGGCGGCCUCGUAAGUCCGCUGUAAAAGUCACAGGCUCAACCUGUGAACGCCGGUGGAUACUGCGAGGCUAGAGUCCGGAAGAGGCGAGUGGAACUCCUGGUGUAGCGGUGGAAUGCGCAGAUAUCAGGAAGAACACCAACGGCGAAGGCAGCUCGCUGGGACGGUACUGACGCUGAGGCGCGAAAGCGUGGGGAGCGAACAGG
rnacentral:rRNA from 1 species